rnacentral:rRNA from 1 species
AACUAGAAAUAGCCCAAAAUAUAAAACAUUAACCUAAUAAUAUAAAACAAAUCAUUUAUAAAUUAAUAGUAUAGGUGAUAGAAAUUCUACUCGGCGCUAUAGAGAUAGUACCUUAAGGGAAAAAAUGAAAGAAACCUAAAAGUAUAAAAUAGCAAAGCUUAAUCCUUGUACCUUUUGCAUAAUGAAUCAACUAGAAAAUAUUUGCAAAAAGAAUUUAAGUUAAUUUCCCCGAAACCAGACGAGCUACCCCUUAGCAGUCUUAUAGGACAAACUCAUCUAUGUGGCAAAAUAGUGAAAAGACUAAGAGGUAGAGGCGAAAAACCUAUCGAGCCUGGUGAUAGCUGGUUGUCCAGAACAGAACUUUAGUUCUAACUUAAAUUUACUAUACAACAAACAAAUUAAAACGUAAGCUUAAGUAAUAGUCUAAAAAGGUACAGCUUUUUAGAUACAGGAUACAACCCUAAUUAGUGAGGUAAAAAAAAUAAAUUAUUCCAGUUGGCCUAAAAGCAGCCAUCAAACAAGAAAGCGUUUAAGCUCGAUAAUAUAAACAUAAACUAACCCCAAUUAUAUAAUAAAACACUCCUAAUACACACUGGACCAAUCUAUUAUCUAAUAGAAGAAAUAAUGUUGGCAUGAGUAACAAGAACUAUUUCUCCCUGCAUAAGUGUAUAUCAGAACGAAUAGAUCACUGAUAAUUACCAAAAAUAACAUAACCAAAUAAUUAAUGAUAUUGAUUCAAACUGUUAGUCCAACACAGGAAUGCAAACAGGGAAAGAUUAAAAGAAGUAAAAGGAACUCGGCAAAUAUAAAUCCCGCCUGUUUAUCAAAAACAUCACCUCUAGCAUAAAAAGUAUUAGAGGCAACGCCUGCCCAGUGACAUUAGUUCAACGGCCGCGGUAUCCUGACCGUGCAAAGGUAGCAUAAUCACUUGUUCUCUAAAUAAGGACUUGUAUGAAUGGCUUCACGAGGAUUUUACUGUCUCUUACUUCCAAUCAGUGAAAUUGACUUUCCCGUGAAGAGGCGGGAAUUAAUUAAUAAGACGAGAAGACCCUAUGGAGCUUUAACUAACUAGCUCAUAAAUAAUUGUAACAAGAAUCUACAAGAAAUUAAUAUUACUCAAAUUGAACUAGUAGUUUAGGUUGGGGCGACCUCGGAAUAAAAACUAACUCCCGAGAAUUUUCAAUCAAGACAAACAAGUCGAAAUUACUAUACAAUUAUAUUGAUCCGUCAAUAGACGACCAACGGAAUAAGUUACCCUAGGGAUAACAGCGCAAUCCUAUUUAAGAGUCCUUAUCGACAAUUAGGGUUUACGACCUCGAUGUUGGAUCAGGACAUCCCAAUGGUGCAGCAGCUAUUAAUGUGUUCGUUUGUUCAACGAUUAAAGUCCUACGUGAUCUGAGUUCAGACCGGAGUAAUCCAGGUCGGUUUCUAUCUAUUUAAAAGGUUUUCCCCUGUACGAAAGGACAAGGAAAACAAGGCCCACUUAAAACUAAGCGCCUUAUAACAUAGAUGAACUAAUCUCAAACUAAUAAACAAUUAACUGCCCAAAAACAGGGCCUA